UACGGAGGGUGCAAGCGUUAUCCGGAUUUACUGGGUUUAAAGGGUGCGUAGGUGGAUUUGUAAGUCAGUGGUGAAAUCUCCGAGCUUAACUCGGAAACUGCCAUUGAUACUAUAAGUCUUGAAUUAUCUGGAGGUAAGCGGAAUAUGUCAUGUAGCGGUGAAAUGCUUAGAUAUGACAUAGAACACCAAUUGCGAAGGCAGCUUACUACACAGCGAUUGACGCUGAGGCACGAAAGCGUGGGGAUCAAACAGG
rnacentral:rRNA from 1 species